rnacentral:rRNA from 1 species
CCUACGGGAGGCAGCAGUGGGGAAUAUUGCACAAUGGGCGCAAGCCUGAUGCAGCGACGCCGCGUGAGGGAUGACGGCCUUCGGGUUGUAAACCUCUUUCAGUAGGGAAGAAGCCGCAAGGUGACGGUACCUGCAGAAGAAGCGCCGGCUAACUACGUGCCAGCAGCCGCGGUAAUACGUAGGGCGCAAGCGUUAUCCGGAAUUAUUGGGCGUAAAGAGCUCGUAGGCGGUUUGUCGCGUCUGCCGUGAAAGUCCGGGGCUCAACUCCGGAUCUGCGGUGGGUACGGGCAGACUAGAGUGAUGUAGGGGAGACUGGAAUUCCUGGUGUAGCGGUGAAAUGCGCAGAUAUCAGGAGGAACACCGAUGGCGAAGGCAGGUCUCUGGGCAUUAACUGACGCUGAGGAGCGAAAGCAUGGGGAGCGAACAGGAUUAGAUACCCUGGUAGUCCGAUGCCGUAAACCGUUUGGGGCACGUAGGUGUGGGGGUACAUUCCACGUUUUCCGCGCCGUAGCUAACGCAUUAAGUGCCCCGCCUGGGGAAGUACGGCCGCAAGGCUAAACGUCAAGGAUUGACGGNNGNGACGNGCGACGACGACGACGAGGGAGAGG